rnacentral:rRNA from 1 species
AGCGAACGCUGGCGGCAGGCUUAACACAUGCAAGUCGAGCGGGCGUAGCAAUACGUCAGCGGCAGACGGGUGAGUAACGCGUGGGAACGUACCUUUUGGUUCGGAACAACACAGGGAAACUUGUGCUAAUACCGGAUAAGCCCUUACGGGGAAAGAUUUAUCGCCGAAAGAUCGGCCCGCGUCUGAUUAGCUAGUUGGUGAGGUAAUGGCUCACCAAGGCGACGAUCAGUAGCUGGUCUGAGAGGAUGAUCAGCCACAUUGGGACUGAGACACGGCCCAAACUCCUACGGGAGGCAGCAGUGGGGAAUAUUGGACAAUGGGGGCAACCCUGAUCCAGCCAUGCCGCGUGAGUGAUGAAGGCCCUAGGGUUGUAAAGCUCUUUUGUGCGGGAAGAUAAUGACGGUACUGCAAGAAUAAGCCCCGGCUAACUUCGUGCCAGCCGCCGCGGUAACAC